UACGAAGGGGGCUAGCGUUGCUCGGAAUCACUGGGCGUAAAGGGUGCGUAGGCGGGGCUUUAAGGCAGGGGGGAAAUCCUGGAGCUCAACUCCAGAACUGCCCUUGAUACUGAGGAUCUUGAGUUCGGGAGAGGUGAGUGGAACUGCGAUUGUAGAGGUGAAAUUCGUAGAUAUUCGCAAGAACACCAGUGGCGAAGGCGGCUCACUGGCCCGAUACUGACGCUGAGGCACGAAAGCGUGGGGAGCAAACAGG
rnacentral:rRNA from 1 species